GAUGAACGCUGGCGGCGUGCCUAAUACAUGCAAGUCGAGCGAACAGACGAGGAGCUUGCUCCUCUGAUGUUAGCGGCGGACGGGUGAGUAACACGUGGAUAACCUACCUAUAAGACUGGGAUAACUUCGGGAAACCGGAGCUAAUACCGGAUAACAUGUUGAACCGCAUGGUUCAACAGUGAAAGACGGUCUUGCUGUCACUUAUAGAUGGAUCCGCGCCGCAUUAGCUAGUUGGUAAGGUAACGGCUUACCAAGGCAACGAUGCGUAGCCGACCUGAGAGGGUGAUCGGCCACACUGGAACUAAGACACGGUCCAGACUACUACGGGAGGCAGCAGUAGGGAAUCUUCCGCAAUGGGCGAAAGCCUGACGGAGCAACGCCGCGUGAGUGAAGAAGGUCUUCGGAUCGUAAAACUCUGUUAUUAGGGAAGAACAAAUGUGUAAGUAACUAUGCACGUCUUGACGGUACCUAAUCAGAAAGCCACGGCUAACUACGUGCCAGCCGCCGCAGUAA
rnacentral:rRNA from 1 species